rnacentral:rRNA from 1 species
GGGUUGUGAGGUUAAGCGACUAAGCGUACACGGUGGAUGCCCUGGCAGUCAGAGGCGAUGAAGGACGUGCUAAUCUGCGAUAAGCGUCGGUGAGGUGAUAUGAACCGUUAUAACCGGCGAUUUCCGAAUGGGGAAACCCAGUGUGUUUCGACACACUAUCAUUAACUGAAUCCAUAGGUUAAUGAGGCGAACCGGGGGAACUGAAACAUCUAAGUACCCCGAGGAAAAGAAAUCAACCGAGAUUCCCCCAGUAGCGGCGAGCGAACGGGGAGGAGCCCAGAGCCUGAAUCAGUGUGUGUGUUAGUGGAAGCGUCUGGAAAGGCGCGCGAUACAGGGUGACAGCCCCGUACACAAAAAUGCACAUAUUGUGAGCUCGAUGAGUAGGGCGGGACACGUGGUAUCCUGUCUGAAUAUGGGGGGACCAUCCUCCAAGGCUAAAUACUCCUGACUGACCGAUAGUGAACCAGUACCGUGAGGGAAAGGCGAAAAGAACCCCGGCGAGGGGAGUGAAAAAGAACCUGAAACCGUGUACGUACAAGCAGUGGGAGCCUCUUAAUGGGGUGACUGCGUACCUUUUGUAUAAUGGGUCAGCGACUUAUAUUCUGUAGCAAGGUUAACCGAAUAGGGGAGCCGAAGGGAAACCGAGUCUUAACUGGGCGUUAAGUUGCAGGGUAUAGACCCGAAACCCGGUGAUCUAGCCAUGGGCAGGUUGAAGGUUGGGUAACACUAACUGGAGGACCGAACCGACUAAUGUUGAAAAAUUAGCGGAUGACUUGUGGCUGGGGGUGAAAGGCCAAUCAAACCGGGAGAUAGCUGGUUCUCCCCGAAAGCUAUUUAGGUAGCGCCUCGUGAAUUCAUCUCCGGGGGUAGAGCACUGUUUCGGCAAGGGGGUCAUCCCGACUUACCAACCCGAUGCAAACUGCGAAUACCGGAGAAUGUUAUCACGGGAGACACACGGCGGGUGCUAACGUCCGUCGUGAAGAGGGAAACAACCCAGACCGCCAGCUAAGGUCCCAAAGUCAUGGUUAAGUGGGAAACGAUGUGGGAAGGCCCAGACAGCCAGGAUGUUGGCUUAGAAGCAGCCAUCAUUUAAAGAAAGCGUAAUAGCUCACUGGUCGAGUCGGCCUGCGCGGAAGAUGUAACGGGGCUAAACCAUGCACCGAAGCUGCGGCAGCGACGCUUAUGCGUUGUUGGGUAGGGGAGCGUUCUGUAAGCCUGCGAAGGUGUGCUGUGAGGCAUGCUGGAGGUAUCAGAAGUGCGAAUGCUGACAUAAGUAACGAUAAAGCGGGUGAAAAGCCCGCUCGCCGGAAGACCAAGGGUUCCUGUCCAACGUUAAUCGGGGCAGGGUGAGUCGACCCCUAAGGCGAGGCCGAAAGGCGUAGUCGAUGGGAAACAGGUUAAUAUUCCUGUACUUGGUGUUACUGCGAAGGGGGGACGGAGAAGGCUAUGUUGGCCGGGCGACGGUUGUCCCGGUUUAAGCGUGUAGGCUGGUUUUCCAGGCAAAUCCGGAAAAUCAAGGCUGAGGCGUGAUGACGAGGCACUACGGUGCUGAAGCAACAAAUGCCCUGCUUCCAGGAAAAGCCUCUAAGCAUCAGGUAACAUCAAAUCGUACCCCAAACCGACACAGGUGGUCAGGUAGAGAAUACCAAGGCGCUUGAGAGAACUCGGGUGAAGGAACUAGGCAAAAUGGUGCCGUAACUUCGGGAGAAGGCACGCUGAUAUGUAGGUGAAGCGACUUGCUCGUGGAGCUGAAAUCAGUCGAAGAUACCAGCUGGCUGCAACUGUUUAUUAAAAACACAGCACUGUGCAAACACGAAAGUGGACGUAUACGGUGUGACGCCUGCCCGGUGCCGGAAGGUUAAUUGAUGGGGUUAGCGGUAACGCGAAGCUCUUGAUCGAAGCCCCGGUAAACGGCGGCCGUAACUAUAACGGUCCUAAGGUAGCGAAAUUCCUUGUCGGGUAAGUUCCGACCUGCACGAAUGGCGUAAUGAUGGCCAGGCUGUCUCCACCCGAGACUCAGUGAAAUUGAACUCGCUGUGAAGAUGCAGUGUACCCGCGGCAAGACGGAAAGACCCCGUGAACCUUUACUAUAGCUUGACACUGAACAUUGAGCCUUGAUGUGUAGGAUAGGUGGGAGGCUUUGAAGUGUGGACGCCAGUCUGCAUGGAGCCGACCUUGAAAUACCACCCUUUAAUGUUUGAUGUUCUAACGUUGGCCCGUAAUCCGGGUUGCGGACAGUGUCUGGUGGGUAGUUUGACUGGGGCGGUCUCCUCCUAAAGAGUAACGGAGGAGCACGAAGGUUGGCUAAUCCUGGUCGGACAUCAGGAGGUUAGUGCAAUGGCAUAAGCCAGCUUGACUGCGAGCGUGACGGCGCGAGCAGGUGCGAAAGCAGGUCAUAGUGAUCCGGUGGUUCUGAAUGGAAGGGCCAUCGCUCAACGGAUAAAAGGUACUCCGGGGAUAACAGGCUGAUACCGCCCAAGAGUUCAUAUCGACGGCGGUGUUUGGCACCUCGAUGUCGGCUCAUCACAUCCUGGGGCUGAAGUAGGUCCCAAGGGUAUGGCUGUUCGCCAUUUAAAGUGGUACGCGAGCUGGGUUUAGAACGUCGUGAGACAGUUCGGUCCCUAUCUGCCGUGGGCGCUGGAGAACUGAGGGGGGCUGCUCCUAGUACGAGAGGACCGGAGUGGACGCAUCACUGGUGUUCGGGUUGUCAUGCCAAUGGCACUGCCCGGUAGCUAAAUGCGGAAGAGAUAAGUGCUGAAAGCAUCUAAGCACGAAACUUGCCCCGAGAUGAGUUCUCCCUGAGACUUUAAGUCUCCUGAAGGAACGUUGAAGACGACGACGUUGAUAGGCCGGGUGUGUAAGCGCAGCGAUGCGUUGAGCUAACCGGUACUAAUGAACCGUGAGGCUUAACCUUACAACGCCGAAG